rnacentral:miRNA from 15 species
UCGUUCUCGAGGGUAGUAGAUG